AACUUCCCCGGACCGAAAACAAACCCAAAAAUUGCCCCAACACUCAUCGUCUCCGACACAACCCCGACCAGAUCCUCGCCGCCCCGACCUCCUACCCGGCGCGCCGCCCCCCGGGCUCUCCCCCGGCGCGCCGCCGCCCGGCUCCCCCCACCCCCUGGCGCGCCGCCGCCCGGCUCUCUCCCCCGCGCGUCGCCGCCUGGCUCUCCCUCCACGCCGCCGCCGGCUACCUCAGCAGACUCCGCCCCAGGCACAACUCACCCGUGCCAACAAAGGCCGUCCACCUUCUUCCUCCGCGCUCGUCCGUGAUGAAUGCGGCCGCGGGUUCGCCGGAUCCGCCCCGGCGUUGCACACUCAUCCGUGCUCCACUUGGUUUCCUCCUCCUCCCAUGUCCCUCCUUCCCCCAUCACAGUGACGUCCAUUACCUUCUUCUAUCAUCAGCAGAGGGAGCAGGAGGUGCUCCAGCAGGCAUCCACCGGCAAGAUAGGCAGGAAAACUACUAUCGUGUGCGGCUGCGGCAGGUUCUUGUCGCCAUUGCCUGAGAGAAGCAUCGCCUGUCCUGGGCUUUGUCCUGAGAGAAGCAUCGCCGGUUGGGAGAGUUCGAAGGUCAGAGUAUGAAGUUCAACAUGGAAAAUUGUCGUGGAUUGCAUUAUUUGAGAAUUUUCCAUGUGUUCUGCAUUUUAGGUAGCGCAGAAUCAGUAAGUUCUACUACUGGUGCACGCCAAGUUCAAGGAUUUUGCCAUGCUCGAGCAUCCACUGGCUCCGACCUCCACCUGCUGUCGCGCGCCUGGGAUCCGCAACCUCUGACCUCGCGUGGACCUUGGCUGGUUUCUCUAUCCCGAGUGCCGCCGCCGGCCUCCCUGCAGCAUGGCUUCGGUUCCCUCUCCGGAUGCGUCUGCGCCAACCAUCUCUACGAGACUACCCUAUUCCUUCGCUGGACUACUCCUUCCACCAGCAGCCCCCUAGCAAACCUCAUGUCUCAUAUUUGUUCUUAUUUUCUUGCAGGAUGCAUCAAAAAGCCAGAUUCACAAAUUCAUCUUCUAUAUGCUUUUCAGUUCAUCAACUUCCCAUUGAUGGAAGAAGGAAAUCAGUCCAACAGGCGCAUCUAAAGUGACAUGUCGUGCACCGCCCACUCGUCCUCAAGCUGCUCGUCGUGUUGUGCCGGCUUGCCAUCAACCACAGUUGUGGCUCCACCCCCACGGUGCUUCCACAACCACCACACGCAGCCUCCCUCUAUUGUUGCCCUCACCAUGCUCUCCUGCGUAUUGGCGGCCUCGACGAGCUGACUAAUUGGUUGCUGCUCCUGCGUGCCACAGUACGCCGUCGAGCUGGUCACCAUUUAUAUUUUUGUUUUAAGUUCAUUUGUGUUCUUGUUGUCAGGUCGCCUGCAAAUUUGUUAUCGUUGUUAGUUCAUGUGUGUUCUUGUUGUUAGGUCCUGUGCAAGUUUGUUAUCAGUUCAUGUGUAUUGUGUUUCCUUUGUCGCUUUAUUAGUACAUAUCCACCUACAGCCCGUUCAAUGAUGUAAGCCAGCAAGUUCGAAAAGAAAUGGAUAAAACAAUGGUGGUGGUGAAAA